UACGAAGGGGGCUAGCGUUGUUCGGCAUCACUGGGCGUAAAGCGCACGUAGGCGGACCUUUAAGUCAGGGGUGAAAGCCUGGAGCUCAACUCCAGAACUGCCUUUGAUACUGGAGGUCUCGAGUGUGGAAGAGGUUGGUGGAACUGCGAGUGUAGAGGUGAAAUUCGUAGAUAUUCGCAAGAACACCAGUGGCGAAGGCGGCCAACUGGUCCAUUACUGACGCUGAGGUGCGAAAGUGUGGGUAGCAAACAGG
rnacentral:rRNA from 1 species